AGUGAAGCGGCAAGAGCUCAAAUUUGAAAUCUGGCCCCCUCGGGGUCCGAGUUGUAAUUUGCAGAGGAUGCUUCGGGUGCGGUCCCCAUCUAAGUGCCCUGGAACGGGCCGUCAUAGAGGGUGAGAAUCCCGUCUGGGAUGGGCGGCCGCGCCCGUGUGAAGCUCCUUCGACGAGUCGAGUUGUUUGGGAAUGCAGCUCUAAGCGGGUGGUAAAUUUCAUCUAAAGCUAAAUACUGGCCGGAGACCGAUAGCGCACAAGUAGAGUGAUCGAAAGAUGAAAAGCACUUUGAAAAGAGAGUUAAACAGCACGUGAAAUUGUUGAAAGGGAAGCGUUGUCCACCAGACUCGCCCGGGGGGGUUCAGCCGGCACGUGUGCCGGUGUACUCCUCUCCGGGCGGGCCAGCAUCGGUUUGGGCGGCUGGUGAAAGGCCCCGGGAAUGUACCACCCUCCGGGGUGUCUUAUAGCCCGGGGUGCCAUACAGCCAGCCUGGACCGAGGCCCGCGCUUCG
rnacentral:rRNA from 1 species